rnacentral:rRNA from 1 species
GACAGAGGGUGCAAACGUUGUUCGGAAUUACUGGGCGUAAAGCGUGUGUAGGCGGCUACGCAAGUCGGAUGUGAAAGCCCCGGGCUCAACCCGGGAAGUGCACCCGAAACUGCGUGGCUCGAGUACCGGAGAGGUUGGUGGAAUUCUCGGUGUAGAGGUGAAAUUCGUAGAUAUCGAGAGGAACACCGGUGGCGAAGGCGGCCAACUGGACGAGUACUGACGCUGAGACACGAAAGCGUGGGGGAGCAAACAGG